GGAGGGAGGGAGAGAAAUAAACAGUGACCGAGGUAAUGAAUGAUAAGCAAAUCUAUCUGUGUAUGUCUGGACUAAAGAAGGGGAGCACUCCUACUGCUAGUUCGUCAUACAGUCAGCUACCUGUAAUCCACUACCACCCCGUGACACCUAUCAAUUGAGACCCAGGACGGGCCCCCAGUCUAACAGGAGCUAAAUGUCUUCAACCUAUCAACGCCCGGCCCAGGAUUCAAACAGGCCGCCUUUCGGCAACAGGUCUAACUCCUUAACCGCUGGGCUACCUACCACCCAUAUUCACAGAAAGUUUACCAACAAGUUUGGACCUGAGCCCUAGGACCAUGCCUCAGGACUACCUGGUAUGAUGACUCCUUGCUGUCCCCAGUCCACCUGGCCGUGCUGCUGCUCCAGUUUCAACUGUUCUGCCUGCGGCUAUGGAACCCUGACCUGUUCACCGGACGUGCUUGUUGCACCCUCGACAACUACUAUGAUUAUUAUUAUUUGACCAUGCUGGUCAUUUAUGAACAUUUUAACAUUUUAACAUCUUGACCAUGUUCUGUUAUAAUAUCCACCCUGCACAGCCAGAAGAGGACUGGCCACCCCUCAUAGCCUGGUUCCUCUCUAGGUUUCUUCAUAGGUUUUUGGCCUUUCUAGGGAGUUUUUCCUAGGGAGUUUUUCCUAGCCACCGUGCUUCUUUCACAUGCUUUGCUUGCUGUUUGGGGUUUUAGGCUGGGUUUCUGUACAGCACUUUGAGAAUAUCAGCUGAUGUACGAAGGGCUAUAUAAAAAUAAAUUUGAUUUGAUUUGAUUUGUCGUAGGAGGUUCGAAGGCAUGUCUGAGGCUUUCUGUGAUAAAAGGAAGAGCGGAAAGGCCCUGGAUGGCAGGUACUGUAGCUUGGCCAAGUACAUCCAGGACCUCUAUGCCAGGCCCCCCCAAAAAAAUUCUAAGACUCCAGCCACCCAAGACAUUGACUGUUCUCUCUGCUACUGCACGGCAUGCGGUACCAGUGCACCAAGUCUGGAACCAACAGGACCCUGAACAGCUUCUACGCCAAGACAUAAGACUUUUUAACACGACUGCUAAAUAGCUAAUCAAAUGGCUACCCAGACUACCUGCAUUUACCCUUUUUUUUAUUAACUCUCUUGCACUGACUCCAUGCACACACACUGGACUCUAACCACACACUCACACAUACUUACACUGACACCCCAACAUACACACAUGCACACACUACAUACGCCCACACACACAACAUGCGCACACAUGCGUACAGAUGCCUCCACACAAACACACGCUCACACCACAGACACUGCUACAGCUCAGUCUAUUAUCUAUCCUGUUGCCUAGUCACUUUACCGCUACCUAUACAUGUCUACCUGUACAUUAGCUACCUAAAUUACCUUGUACUACUGCACAUCAACUCGGUACUGGUACUCCUUGUAUAUAGCCAUGUUAUUUUUACUCUUUAUUGUUAUUUGUUGUUCACUGUGUAAUUAUUCCUUGUCACUUAUUUUAAUCUUUAUCUUUAACUCUGCAUUGUUAGAAAAGGACCCAUGAGUACGCAUUUUGCUGUUAGUCUACACCUGUUGUUUAUGAAGCAUGUGACAAAUAAAAUGUGAUUUGAUUUGAAAGAGGAGGAGAGAGGGGGGGGUAGACCCAUUCCAAAACCAGGGGGAACGUGGGGCUACCAGGCCUAGUUGAGUCCAUUAGUCGCAUGUAGAGUUGACAGCCCCCCCCCC
rnacentral:lncRNA from 1 species